rnacentral:rRNA from 1 species
CUACGGGCGGCUGCAGUGAGGAAUAUUGCACAAUGGGGGGAACCCUGAUGCAGCAACGCCGCGUGGAGGAUGACGCAUUUCGGUGUGUAAACUCCUUUUAUAUGUCAAGAAAAUGACGGCAGCAUAUGAAUAAGCACCGGCUAACUCCGUGCCAGCAGCCGCGGUAAUACGGAGGGCGCAAGCGUUACUCGGAAUCACUGGGCGUAAAGGACGCGUAGGCGGGUUGGAAAGUCAGGUGUGAAAUCCUACAGCUUAACUGUAGAACUGCACUUGAAACUUCUAAUCUAGAGUAUGGGAGGGGGAGAUGGAAUUAGUGGUGUAGGGGUAAAAUCCGUAGAUAUCACUAGGAAUACCUAAAGCGAAGGCGAUCUCCUGGAACAUUACUGACGCUAAGGCGUGAAAGCGUGGGGAGCAAACAGGAUUAGAUACCCGAGUAGUC